rfam:Criblamydia sequanensis, CRIB-18, WGS project CCEJ01000000 data, contig: 3
ACCGGGGACCUCAUGAGAUAGGGCAGUCCGAACCAGGUCAGGACAGGAAUGUAGCAGCCUUAAGGAUGUCGUCUUAUGUCUUGAGAUAAUCUCCGGUAUU